rnacentral:lncRNA from 1 species
GAGGAAACAGUAAGGAAGAGAAAAGAGAAAUUCUCAUUAUAGCCAUGGCAAAGGAAGGGACAUUUUUAUGGACUACAUCUCUGCCUGGAUGGCUGUCUCUAACUGGAUUUUGCCGAUAUAUUGCUGAGUAAGAUGUGACUUGCUCCUCCUUGCCUUCCACCAUGAUCAUGAGGCCUCCCCAACCAUGUGGAACUUGGGAGAUAUGAAAUUAUCCAGGAAUGGCAAUUUGACCACAAAAUACAUGAACAGAUGGUUCUUGCAUUUGAAUGGGAAAAGAUGCUGCCUAGUCCAUCUUGAAUUGGAAAAUGUUGUGACUCAUAGUGCAAAUUUUACACUUUUGGAUGCAUUUGGAUUUCUUGGAUGUUGUAAGCACUUCUCCUUCCUGCCGCCACGUGAAGAAGGACAUGUUUGCUUCCCCUUCCACCAUGAUUGUAAGUUUCCUGAGGCCACCCAGUCCUGCAGAACUGAGAUUUUCACAGCUAUCUGUGAUGCUAUCUUGUGACCAUGAGGAGUGCUAAGCUGAAUCACAAAUCCACCAUGCUGAGGACAGCACAACAAAGACUUGGGGACUUAAUGGUUUUAACCAGUCACUGGGUUAACAAACCCUGGAACAAUCCUACCUCAAGACUUCAGGUUUUGUUAUUGGAAUGAUGCUGGCCUCAUAAAAUGAGUUAGCGAGGAGUCCCUCCUCCUUGAUGUUUUGGAAUAGCUUCAGUAGGAUUCAUACCAACUCUUAUUUACGCAUCUCAUAGAAUUCAGCUG